AGAAUCAACGCUGGCGGCGUGCCUAACACAUGCAAGUCGCACGAGAAAGGGACUUCGGUCCUGAGUAAAGUGGCGCACGGGUGAGUAACACGUGAAUAAUCUACCUCCGAGUGGGAAUAACUGAGAGAAAUCUUAGCUAAUACCGCAUAACACUUACGAGUCAAAGCAGCAAUGCGCUUGGAGAGGAGUUCGCGGCAGAUUAGUUAGUUGGCGGGGUAAUGGCCCACCAAGACGAUGAUCUGUA
rnacentral:rRNA from 1 species